rnacentral:rRNA from 1 species
UGAUGAACGCUAGCGACAGGCUUAACACAUGCAAGUCGAGGUUCAGCACAGGUAGCAAUACCGGGUGGCGACCGGCGCACGGGUGAGUAACGCGUAUGCAACUUGCCUAUCAGAGGGGGAUAACCCGGCGAAAGUCGGACUAAUACCGCAUGAAGCAGGGAUCCCGCAUGGGAAUAUUUGCUAAAGAUUCAUCGCUGAUAGAUAGGCAUGCGUUCCAUUAGGCAGUUGGCGGGGUAACGGCCCACCAAACCGACGAUGGAUAGGGGUUCUGAGAGGAAGGUCCCCCACAUUGGUACUGAGACACGGACCAAACUCCUACGGGAGGCAGCAGUGAGGAAUAUUGGUCAAUGGCCGAGAGGCUGAACCAGCCAAGUCGCGUGAGGGAUGAAGGUUCUAUGGAUCGUAAACCUCUUUUAUAAGGGAAUAAAGUGCGGGACGUGUCCCGUUUUGUAUGUACCUUAUGAAUAAGGAUCGGCUAACUCCGUGCCAGCAGCCGCGGUAAUACGGAGGAUCCGAGCGUUAUCCGGAUUUAUUGGGUUUAAAGGGUGCGUAGGCGGCCUUUUAAGUCAGCGGUGAAAGUCUGUGGCUCAACCAUAUAAUUGCCGUUGAAACUGGGGGGCUUGAGUAUGUUUGAGGCACGCGGAAUGCGUGGUGUAGCGGUGAAAUGCAUAGAUAUCACGCAGAACCCCGAUUGCGAAGGCAGCCUGCCACGCCAUUACUGACGCUGAUGCACGACAGC